rnacentral:rRNA from 1 species
AUUGAACGCUGGCGGCAUGCCUUACACAUGCAAGUCGAACGGCAGCACGGGUGCUUGCACCUGGUGGCGAGUGGCGAACGGGUGAGUAAUACAUCGGAACAUGUCCUGUAGUGGGGGAUAGCCCGGCGAAAGCCGGAUUAAUACCGCAUACGAUCUACGGAUGAAAGCGGGGGACCUUCGGGCCUCGCGCUAUAGGGUUGGCCGAUGGCUGAUUAGCUAGUUGGUGGGGUAAAGGCCUACCAAGGCGACGAGCAGUAGCGGGUCUGAGAGGUCGACCAGCCACACUGGGACUGAGACACGGCCCCUACUCCUACGGGAGGCCGCAGUGGGGAAUUGUGGACAAUGGGCGAAAGCAUGAUCCAGCAAUGCCGCGUGUGUGAAGAAGGCCUUCGGGUUGUAAAGCACUUUUGUCCGGAAAGAAAUCCUUGGCCCUAAUACGGUCGGGGGAUGACGGUACCGGAAGAAUAAGCACCGGCUAACUACGUG